AUUCAUCAGGGAGCAGAUAAUGUCUGGUUAUUGCUCUCUAUGUGAUGUCGGCAGCCAUUGAUACUCAGAAUACUUUUAUGAAGAGAUCUAUCCCCUCAACUACAAUUUGGUUGCACGGUGAUACAGUUCACAACGGAAAGAGAUAGAGACAGCCAGCGAGAGAGGAAACACAAGCAGAGGGAGUGGG